UUGACUGGCAAAUGAUAACGAUUAUUAUUGCACUCAGCAGGUCGCGAGACCCGCUGGAUAACCUGCAACGUCCUCAGGUCGGACGCUCAGAUUAUCUCCUCAUCAGGCUAAUCACGGUUUUUGACCCGGCUUUUUGCCGGGUCUUUUUUUU
rfam:Pseudomonas entomophila str. L48 chromosome,complete sequence.